CGGACGGGUGAGUAAUGUCUGGGAAACUGCCUGAUGGAGGGGGAUAACUACUGGAAACGGUAGCUAAUACCGCAUAACGUCGCAAGACCAAAGAGGGGGACCUUCGGGCCUCUCGCCAUCGGAUGUGCCCAGAUGGGAUUAGCUAGUAGGUGGGGUAACGGCUCACCUAGGCGACGAUCCCUAGCUGGUCUGAGAGGAUGACCAGCCACACUGGAACUGAGACACGGUCCAGACUCCUACGGGAGGCAGCAUG
rnacentral:rRNA from 1 species